AACCAAGCUUUCAUUCCCUGCAAAUAAAGAUUUCCCAACAGGGGAAUUUGAUAAAACAUAGAUAUGAGCUAAUGUAGUUGAUGAGCAAUACGAAGAACCACAACACAAUUUCUACUUUGAUUGAAAUACUUAACGAAUCAAAAUAACCAUGAAUAAUAAUAAUAUAUAACUAUAUUUGUUGUUUACAUGAUGAAUUGAUGAUAUGUUAUUUGUGAAGGGAUGAAAAAGAAGAUGAAGGAAGCCAUUGAUAUUCAUGUUGAUGAUACCUACACUUGAACGAUCUUGGAUGCUUCGACGGUGAACACACACACUUUUUCUUUCCAUCGCCACUGUUACCACCGUUACGGUGACCAGCGGUGGCUUCCACAUCUAUUGCCACCGUCACUUCUG